UGUACCCUUUAAAGACUGGGUGACAGCCUAGGGUCCCCUCCAUUUGUGCUCGGUGACAUCACUUCCGGGGCGGAGACCUAAGAAGCGUUACGGUGAUAGACAAACAAACAAAACGAGGCGCCGAAGACUCACGGGGCGACUGGCUGUGAGUAGCCAGACCCAGGACUAGGGCUGCCUGCGUGGCGGCCGAGAACGGCGGGCCUUGGGCUAACAUUCUCUGAAUGGCACCUCCGUCUCCUGCCAGGAAACAUGCCCUCUGCUUCCUGCCUGGAUCUCUCUCACCGCUGUUCCUGCCCCGGGGACACUCACCCGUGCCCUCUUACUCCUCUAGAACCCUCCACUGACCCCUUUGGUCUGGGUUGACAGACGAUGCUCUGCAGUUCACCAGGCAGCGGAGUGGCAUCUGUCAGCUGGCUUUCAGUCUCAGGCUUUGAAACUUGGGGACAGUUUUCUUGCCCUCCUCUCAGAAAGGACUGCUGUUGACACCCUGCUUAUAUCUCCCAGCAAAAUCCUACAAGCAAUAUAAAAAAUUACAAUGGAUUACAUUCUAUUUUUUGUCAAUUGGAUGAUUACAGUAAGUAUUUGUUUAAAAAAAAGCACCAUGUUCCCAAAACCCUUAGAUGAAUAAAUGUUUUACAUGUUACAGUAAAAAAACAAAUUAUUCCCAAGAAUCCACAUCCAUUUGUGUCUAAGCAACGUUAUAGGUUAACAAAGUGUGAGCGGUAUAAGC